rnacentral:sRNA from 1 species
UUAUGUGUUAUCUUUCGCAUCUUGCUAAUCAAUCACCAUUGGUUUGAAAAAAUCCUUCCUGGUUUGGAUAAAUCAGAAUGUGUAGCCGGUUAAGAGAUUGGGAGCAAGUUUCAAUUUCUACAUCCAAGAGCGGAAUAAACCGAAUAGAAAGUUGGAAUAAAGGCAUUUCCAUCAGUGAGAUAUCUUCUUGGUUUCUCAAAAAAAAAAGAUAUUAGUAUUUUAAUAAAUAUUAGUUAUAUAAUUAAAUUUUAACAAUAAAAUAAUAUAUGACCAAUAGAUGAUAUACAAGUGUUUUUGUAGGUGUCUUAGAGUUUCUCACUUGAGAGACUAAUUAUACUCUCUCUCAUACUUUUUGAUUAUAUUUUAUUUUUAUAUUGAACAGUUUCUCAAUGAGAAACCAUUGAUGGAGAUGGUCUAACAAUCCUAAGUGACAAUCCUAAGUGACAGACCAACAUAACACCUAGACUUUGAGAGUCUAACAUGUAGAGCCCUAAACUGGAAACCAAAAUACAGAGGAUCUACGAGUUCUUCA